AAACACCUGUGUGGCUGUUCAGAUUUGAUAAAAGGCCUGCAUUUUCCUCCAGACCACUUCGACAACAGAACUAUGAUGGAUGAAGGUGGAGCUGCUGGUGGUGGGAGAAGAACUCAGCUGACUCAUCCAAUCUACCAGGAAAUGGAGAAUUUGUUUAAAAGUGGCAGUAGGUCAUAGUCUUGAAGCAUCAGGCAACCUGCCAGGAAGAGGGGAAAACCUACUCUUGGCAGACUACAUGGAAGGAGUUUUGGAGGAACGAAGAAGAAUGUG